GGAAAAUGCCUGGGGCUGCCUACAGCCUGGGGUGUUUCUCUCUCUCUCUCCCAGCCUCCCCCCUUUCUUCCCUCUCACCUUCCUUUGUGCGAAGCAGAGUUAUUACUUCUACAUAAGCAGCAAGGGCAACAGUAGCUCAUGAUCUGUUGUGCACAAGUCUCCCCAGACUCAGGAAAGCUGCCAGGGCCUGGGGCUGCAGUUCACUGGAAGAUACUUCAGAAGAGCACCUGGUUGUUGAUUCCCAGCACCCAUGAUGCGGAGCUCACAACUGCCUGUAACUUCAGGAGCAUCUGACCCAUUUGGUGUCUGUGGAUGCCUACACUCACAUACAGCUCCUCCCCUAUACACAUAAUUAAAAGGAAGAAAAUUUAAACUCUUAA
rnacentral:lncRNA from 1 species